UUACCUUGGGGUUAGAGGAAAAUGCCUACUGCUACUACUGCUGAUGGGUGCUACUGACUGACAUCGCUGGUCUUGCUGAUAUGCUGCUGGUAAAACAGCCCGCUCGAUACGGUCUUGUUCUCGCGCGCGCACGCUCUCCCUCUCUUUCUGUUGCUUCUCUCGGCAAAAAGAUCGAGAUUCGUUGUGUGUGCGUUCUGCUGGCCCACAGAGACACAGCCCUGUAUGUGUGUGCGCGCGCGCUUUUACGAAACCGAAAGCGGGCUCAGCCAAUCGAUUAACGCAAAAUUCAUGGCAUUCCUUCAAAAGCCGUUCGUCGUUUCGUCGACUAUUCGGCGGCCUGUCAGCAAACUGUCUACAGGAGUGUCGGUAAUAGGUGAAUUGGGCGCAGUUGACGAGCCUCUAUUUCCGAACAGAAACAACAGACAAUAGGAGCUGCAACGCGAACGCUUCACUUCUCCCUCGGAAGGAAAUUAAGCACCGCACGUAACAACCAUCAGCCGCAAUGCAAAACCAUGCACACGGCACCCUUCUGCCAUGUGUGUACCGAAAAGGGGAAUAAGACGCCAGCGAGUUACGCAUUGUUGCAUUGCAUACACAUCUGGGAAGGUAAAAGGUACAAUCCGGAAGAGAAAACGAAGGAACCCCCGUGGAAGGAAUUGAUGGCAGCAAAAGGACUUUCCCGUCCGUGCAGGAAGGUGAGACAUACAGCGGCAACAUGCAGCAGAUGUGCUGUUAUCCUGCCGUUUUGCUGUCCCACUCGCUUCGUUUCUGACCCUUCCUAUGGGAGAUACACCAAACCCACGUGGUUUAUUAAAAAUGGAGCACACUGAACGGAACGCUGCAACUGCAUCCCGAAGAAUUACUGUGCUUCCUUUUGUUCCGGGCUGUUUGUGCUCGUCGCCGUGUUUUUGGCGAUUUAUCUCCAGUCUGUGCACGUAAAUUACCCAACUGGUGACCUUGUACCACCUCAUCUCACCAAAGCUUUUCGUUAGCAAAAUGUCACCAAUUAGAACCAUUUGUGCCGAAAAUGGUGAUGGUCAAUAACGGCAGAUGCAAUGAUAUAUACCAUUUAUCAUUAGCUAUGAUGCUCUACUUCUCUACUGCUACUUACUCAUCAGGAAACGUUCAGUUUCUAGAUCUGCAACGAAAAAUAUAAGGAAUAUAAAAUCGAAGAAUUAAUAUAAAUAACCAGCAAGAUCGACCAGUACCGGUCAAAAUACCUUAAAAA